rnacentral:rRNA from 1 species
AUGGAUGAGAUCCUGACGGCUGAAGAUGGUGCGCACGGGAGGAGCUUGGAAGAUGUCAACAUGAGCUUCUCUCAAUCCUUCUCCCCUUCACGCCCCUUGCAAAUUUUUCUUGUUUCAGAUCAUAUGAAAGGGCGCCGCGAGGAGUGGAGGAUUGAGGGUCUUCGCAAGGAGUUGAAGGCUGAGGUCAUGGUUGUCAGCUUCAAUUUUUUGCUAAGCAAUUCCUCAAGAGUCUUGCCAAGAUCUGAGGAUGAAGGGAAGAAGAAGAAUUUAACUAAACAAUUGAAGAAGAUCAAGGGGCGCCGCGAGGAGUGGAGGAUCAAGGUUGUGGGUUGCCAGCUUCAAAUUUUGGUUGAGCACUUCCUCAAGAAUCUUGUUGAGGUGUCUGUUUCCCCUCUUUGUGUCAUGAAUGAUUGUGAUGGUUGCAGGGUCUUCGCAAGGAGUUGA